rnacentral:tRNA from 1 species
GGAGGAGUAGCGAAGUGGCUAAACGCGACGGACUGUAAAUCCGUUCCUUAGGGUUCAGUGGUUUAAUCCACUCUCCUCCA